rnacentral:rRNA from 1 species
UACAGAGGGUGCGAGCGUUUGUCCGGAAUCACUGGGCGUAAAGGGCGCGUAGGUGGUGGCUUAAGCGUGCGGUGAAAGCUCGGGGCUCAACUCCGAGUCGGCCGUGCGAACUGGGCUCACUGGAGCAUAGUAGAGGCAGGUGGAAUUCCGGGUGUAGCGGUGGAAUGCGUAGAGAUCGGGAGGAACACCAGUGGCGAAGGCGGCUACCUGGACCAGCACUGACACUGAGGCACGAAAGCGUGGGGAGCAAACAGG